UAUUCCUCCUGGUAAUCUUGACUCCAGCCUGUGAUUCAUCCAGCCUGGUAUUUCACAUUCUGCAUAGAAGGUAAAUAAGCAGGGUGACAAUAUACAGCUUUGUCAUACUCUUUUCCCAACUUGGAAAAGAACCAGUCAGUUCUUCCAUGUCUGGUUCUUACUGUCACUUCUUGACCUGCAUAGAGGUUUCUCAGGAGACAGGUAAGGCGGUCUGGUACUCCCAGCUCUUGAGGAAUCUUCCACAGUUUGUCCUGAUUCACACAGUCGAAGGCUUGAGCAUAGUCAAUGAAGCAGAAGUAGAUGUUUUUCUGAAACUCCCUUGCUUUCUCCAUGAUCCAACAAAUGUAGGCAAUUUGAGGCUUAUGUCUAAGCCUCAAAUCCCCAUCCCUGUGCUAAGCUUGAGGCUGGCACACAAUGGGCCCUGGGGAAAUGCUUGCUGAACUGGAUGAGAUUUAGGUCAGUUCAGGAGAGACCCUCAGUGCCAGGCUAAAGAGUUUAGACUCAACACUCAAAGGCAAUGGGAGCCAUUGAAGGUGUCUGAGCAUGAGGAGGUUCUAAUCUAUAGAUUGUUUUAGAAAAAUUACCUGAGCAGCAUCAGUGAGGGAGAGGAUGUUUUAGAGAGAGGGAAACUUCACAUGGGGCAGGGUUGGGGGAGAUGGUUAUAGAGAGGACCAUUAAGAAGCUUUUGUAGAAAGUAGUAAUGACCUGAAUUAGGGUUGUGGAGCAGGGAACAGAAAAGAGAAAAACAACUUGGGCCACAUUUCUCUUUUCAAAAGAUGAACUCUGAUCUCAUUUUUAUAAAACCAUGUAUUAUUUGUGUGUCCUAUAAUAUAUGCAAAGGGUCUUAUAAAUCACUAGGCUUGACACUAGCCAACUGAAGAGGCUUCUGGGGAAAUGGCAUUGUGUGUGUGUAUUUUCAUGAAUUAUUUUUCAUCCUUACAAAAAGCCCUAUGAGGUAGGAUGUUAUUAGUGCCACUUUACGGAUGGAGAAACUGAAGCUCAGAGAGAGUCUGAAUCACUUGCUCAAGGUCACACAACCAGUACUUUUCCCACUCCAGUAGACCUUCCCCAGUGACACACUGAAGGAAUAAUCAAGGCACCUCCAUCAUUAAUUGAAUGGGGGAUGGGAGGAGGGGACCAAGAGGAAGGGGUUAAAAAUGACUAGGAUGCUUUGAGACUGAUCAAGUGAAAAAUAAUCAAGUCAGGAGAGACUGCUGGGUUACUGUGGGAAGAUUUGGGCCAAAGAAAUGAAUAUCUAACGAUGGAAUCUGAUGCAUCAGAUCAGAGCUUAGAGGGAAGUCUGUUAAGUACACUCCUUGCUCGCUGGCCCUGCCACUGAGCACCUGAAGCCCCUUAGCAACUGGACAUUUUACAGAGAAAAAUAUUUUAGCCCCACAGUGUUCUUCUGAGUGCUUGGGUCCUUCUGCAUCAGCAGCUUGUACUUUCUGUGGCUCCAUGUGGCCUGAUUGACCAGUUUUAAAAGGCCUGCUGAUGAAUUUGAGAUCUCAGGCUUCCAUCUUCUUUGGUCAGCAAAGACGAAAAGGCCUUGGCAUGAACACGAGGCUAUUAUUCACUGAGAAGACAUUAUAAACCUCAAGAACGCAAGCCCAUCAGGCAGGAAAGGCCACCCAGCUUACUAGGCACGCUGUGUCCUCAUGGGUCCGUCCAGCGUGAUUCAUUACUAAAUCUGCAGCAGGCAGGAGGCAAAAGAGGAUUUCAUGUAAACUGUUUGGGAGAAGCACUUUGAAUGCAACUUAAAGUUAUUAGAGCUCCAGAGCUUGAAAUGCUUGUUAAAUUUCAAGUUGAGGUUAUUCCUCCCUUAUCCUUCACCAGGACCAUCCCUGGGGAGGAAGAAAAAAAGGUAGAAAAGUUGUGUGGUGAUUUGGUGUAUUAGUCAGGGUUCUCUAGAGAAACAGAACCAAUAGGGUGGAUAUAGGCAUAUAGAAUGAGACUUACUGUGAGGGUUUGGCUCAUAUAAUUACGGAGACUGAGAAGUCAGCUCAGGAAAGCUGGAGAUGUAGUACCAAUCCAAACUCAGAGGCCUGGCGGCGGAGGAGGGGUAGCGGUAGAAGUCUUAGUCCAAGGCCAAAGGCCAAGAACCAGGAGUGCAGGUGUUCCUGGGCAGGAGAAGAUGGAUGUCCCAGCUCAAGCAGAAAGCAAAUUCACUUUUUUCCUGCCUUUUUGUUCUAUUUAGGCCUUCAGUGGAUUUGAUAAUGUCCAGUAUUGAUGAAGCAGUCUUUUUCACUCAUUCUGGUAUAAAUACUAAUCUAUUCCUGAAACACUUAGAUGUAAUGUUUUGCCAGCUAUCUGGGCAUCCCUUAGCCCAGGCAUGUUGACACAAAAUUAACCUACACUGAGGGGUAGGUUUGGAAAUCUGUGACACUGAAGAUGCAAUAUGUUCAGGCCCUAAUGUAUGUUUUCAGUUAAAUAUAUCUUGGGGUGGGGGGAGCCAGUUUGUGGGCAUAGGAUCUAAAGAAUUCACAAAAGGAAAUUAAAAUUGUAUGUAACUAUAUUACAGGCUCACCAUGUUGCACAGCAGCAGAGGGCAGUACUCCCAAUGAAUUCUAUUCACAGAGGUGCACAUUGUAGUGGUCUGUAAGAGGAUACUCAACUUCUCCCAAAGGAAGAGAGUACUCAAGUCAUGUCCGGCUCUUUGAGAUCCCAUGGGCUGUAGCCCACCGGGCUCCUCUGGUCUGUGGGAUUAUCCAGGCAAGAAUACUGGAGUGGGUUGCCAUUUCCUCCUCCAGGGAAUCUUCCCGACCCAGGGAUCAAACCAGCUGUCUCCUGUGUUGGCUGGCAGAUUCUUUACCAGUAAGCCACCUGGGAAGAAGUGCUGAUUGAAACAAUAAGGUGAUGUUUUUCAUUUACUGAAUUGGCAAAGCUCAAAGUAUUGCUAAGAUCCUGUGUUGCUGGGAGUGAAAUUUGGUAACGCCUCUGUAGAGGGUGAAGUGAAUACUAUGGAUUGGCUCUCUCCACCUGGGUCAUUCACCCUCUUCUAGUUGUUGAUGUAGGAAAGCUAAGUCCUACACUUCCCAGACUUCCCUGCCUAUAGGGUUCCACCUGCAAUGAAUGAGAAUUCCUGUUGCUCCUUGUCAGCAGUUAGUGUUACAGCAUUCUGGAUUUUGGCCAUUUUAAUAGGGAUCCCGUGAGGCUGCUCCUCCUCUUCUCAGUCAUGUCGGUUCUGAGAGGCUCUCAACCCACUGCCUGAGCUGCCGUGUUGUCUUAUGACCCCACCGUAACCACUCAGGCCAGGACUGACUGAACCGGGAGUGAAGAACAGAUCCAGGGGGACACCAACUCUCGGACUGCGUUGAGCCCAUCUCAUUCCCUGUCCUGGGAAUGUAGGACCUGGUGAUGAAGUCAAUCAGACAGCAACAUAACAUGCGUGAAAGGAAAGGCUAUGGAGUGUGGGAGCUCCGGAGGCUGUGGCAGCCACCGUGGAAAAGAAUCCAGACUCACCUCACUAAAAAUGAGAGCCCAUGUGGAAAGCUGAGUGAGGCAGCCCAUCCAGCAGCUGGCUCUGGAUCCAGCCAUGUGGGGGAGGCCGUCUUGGACCAUCUAGCCCCAGAUGGGCUAUCAGAUAACCACUUGACUCAACCCAGGCUAGAUCAGCUGAAGAACAGCCAGACUGCCAACCCAGUAGUCAAGAGAAAUCAUAAAUCAUUGUUAACCUAAUACAUUUGGGCGAUUUAUUUUUGUUCCAAUAGGUAACUGAAACACCAGUCUUCCCAAUAUACCUUCUUCUCACAGCCUUCAUCUCUCUAGAUAUUACCUCUAUUCUUCCAGUUGCUUAGGCCAAAAAAUGUGGAGUUCCUUGACUCCUCCCUUUUUCUCACACUCACAUCUGCUCUUUCAGCAAAUUAUGUAUUAUCAUCUCCAAAAUAUAUCCUGACUCCUAUCCUUACCAACUCCAUUGCUAUCACAGUGGGCCGAACUGCAUCAUCUCUUUCCUGGAUUACUGCUGGGGCCUCCAUGUUGGUCUCUCUGCUGCCCUCCUGGCUCCACUGUGUUCUCCAGUCGGCAGUGAGCGAUCCUUUUAGAGUUUAAGUCAUAUCCCAUCAUUCUUCUGCUCAGAAGCCUCCAGGGACUUCACAUUUUGGUCAGAGUAAAAGUUAAAAUCCUUACUAAGGCUUCAAGACCCCACAUGAUUUGGCCCUCUUCUCUUGCCCGUAUCUGUAAUCGCACUCUGCAUCUCUACCCCUGGUUCACCCGUUUUCAGCCACUGUGGUCUCUUUGCUGUCCCUUAAACACACCAAGUGCCUUCCUAUCUCCAGGCCUUUGCACUUGCUCCCCUCUGUGUAAAAUGGUCUCCCCCAGAGACUUAAUGGACUCACUUCUUAUGUCUGCUCAGAUGUUCCUUUAUUGCCCACUCCUCCAUCUCCACCCAACCCUGAGCUCCAUCAGUUUCUAACGCUCUCACCCUCCUCCACAGCAUUUAACACGACCUAACAUACUACAUUUUUGUUUGUUUUGUAUCUACUUUCUCCCAUUAGAACAUAAACUCCAUGAGGACAGGGACAUCAUCUGGUUAUUCAUUCCAGAGUCUCCUGUGCCUAUUACCUAUCACAUAGAAGGUGUUUGAUAACAGUUUUGCUGAAUGAAUGAAAGCAGAAGUGUAUUGUCUUACUUUUCUAUUGCUGUUGUAACAAAUGACUACAAACCUGGUGACUUAGAACAAAUGUAUUAUCUUACAGUUCAGAAGAUCUGAAGUCCCAAAACGUGUCACUGGGCUAAAAUCAAAGUGUUGACAGGGCUGCCUUUUUACCAGGGAAGCUGUCCGGGAGAACGUAUCCCCUUACUUUGUCCAGCAUCUGGAGGCUGCCCACAUUCUCUGAGGAUGACAUCCUUCCAUCCUCAAAGCAAGCGAUGAUUGAGCCUUCCUCACGGGGCAUCACAGGGCUUCUAUCG